rnacentral:rRNA from 1 species
AUUACCCAAUCCUGAUUCAGGGGAGGUAGUGACAAGAACUAACGAUACGGGGCUUUAAGAAAGUCGACGUAAUCGGAAUGAGUACAAUUUAAAUCCCAUGACGAGGAUCCGUUGGAGGGCAAGCCUGGUGCCAGCAGCCGCGGUAAUUCCAGCUCCAAUAGCGUAUAUUAAAGUUGUUGCAGUUAAAAAGCUCGUAGUUGGAUUUCGGGUGGCAUCGGUGGGUCCGCCGCAAGGCAACUGGCCGGUGCGUCCUUCCUGGCGCAGACGCUGCGUGCUCUUAGCUGAGUGUGCAGGGGAUUCGUCACGUUUACUUUGAAAAAAUUAGAGUGUUCAAAGCAGGCCGGCGCUUGGAUACAUAAGCAUGGAAUAAUGGAAUAGGACUCCGGUUCUAUUUUGUUGGUUUCUGGAUCGGGAGUAAUGAUUGAUAGGGACGGUUGGGGGCAUUCGUACUUCGUUGUCAGAGGUGAAAUUCUUGGAUUUACGAAAGACGGACUACUGCGAAAGCAUUUGCCAAGAACGUUUUCAUUAAUCAAGAACGAAAGUUAGAGGCUCGAAGACGAUCAGAUACCGUCCUAGUUCUAACCGUAAACGAUGCCGACUAGGGAUCGGAGGGUGUCAUUUUGUUGACCCCUUCGGCACCUUGUGGGAAACC